rnacentral:siRNA from 1 species
AGGAGAGUCUGAUUCUGAAAUGC